rnacentral:rRNA from 1 species
CCCAAUUGAUUGACGGUGCUUGCACCUGAUUGAUUUUGGUCGCCAACGAGUGGCGGACGGGUGAGUAACACGUAGGUAACCUGCCCAGAAGCGGGGGACAACAUUUGGAAACAGAUGCUAAUACCGCAUAACAACGUUGUUCGCAUGAACAACGCUUAAAAGAUGGCUUCUCGCUAUCACUUCUGGAUGGACCUGCGGUGCAUUAGCUUGUUGGUGGGGUAACGGCCUACCAAGGCGAUGAUGCAUAGCCGAGUUGAGAGACUGAUCGGCCACAAUGGGACUGAGACACGGCCCAUACUCCUACGGGAGGCAGCAGUAGGGAAUCUUCCACAAUGGGCGCAAGCCUGAUGGAGCAACACCGCGUGAGUGAAGAAGGGUUUCGGCUCGUAAAGCUCUGUUGUUAAAGAAGAACACGUAUGAGAGUAACUGUUCAUACGUUGACGGUAUUUAACCAGAAAGUCACGGCUAACUACGUGCCAGCAGCCGCGGUAAUACGUAGGUGGCAAGCGUUAUCCGGAUUUAUUGGGCGUAAAGAGAGUGCAGGCGGUUUUCUAAGUCUGAUGUGAAAGCCUUCGGCUUAACCGGAGAAGUGCAUCGGAAACUGGAUAACUUGAGUGCAGAAGAGGGUAGUGGAACUCCAUGUGUAGCGGUGGAAUGCGUAGAUAUAUGGAAGAACACCAGUGGCGAAGGCGGCUACCUGGUCUGCAACUGACGCUGAGACUCGAAAGCAUGGGUAGCGAACAGGAUUAGAUACCCUGGUAGUCCAUGCCGUAAACGAUGAGUGCUAGGUGU